CUUAGAAACUUUGGUUUCUAAGGAGAAUAUUUAUCUUCCCAAGUGUGUGUAAAUUGUUUAAGUGUUAUGGCAUUCGGUCCCUUUCAACUUAAAAUGCUUGUAAAAUUGAGUAAUUGAUUGUUUAUAUACGUGCAGCCACACAUUUUGCUUUCUUCCUUACUGAAGUGCAGCCUUCACUGUCAGAAAAUACACUUGUAUUUUAACAUCGUGCAAAACAGGAUUUAACAGUUGGGGAAUACAGAAUGUUAGUUAAACCUUCAUGGAAAGUUAGAUCAGUAGUGCUACAGUCUUCUUCCUUUAAAAAGAUUCUUCUUAAUAUAUUGAAUAUCUGUGCCUUUGUGAGAGUACAGGACACAUACAUCUAGUAGAAGUUUCCUGUCUAGUUGUUGUUUUCUUUUCAAUAUAGUUUUUUUUAUAUUUUCAGGAAAAGAAGACAAAGAUAAUUCUAUGAUAAGCAUUCAAAUUUCUCUUGACUUUAGGUAUGUCUUUUCAUUUGGGGGGAAAUCAAAGUAGAAUAUUUCUAUGAUUAUAUCUCUGCCCUCAAAACAUGGACAGAUGUUUCUCGUGCAUUCUGCAGUCAGUUUCCAUGGAGCCUGGCUUCCUGAGCUUGCCUUGUAAAGUUCUGGUGAAGCUCAUGGACCACAUGGUUGCCUCUCUCCCGUGUUCUGCUAUGGAAGAUGCUCCUUCAUCUGCUGAUUCCUCUUUGUUCUGUCCUUUUGGGAAUGAUGAAAGGACCCUCGUGUUGUCACAGGUUAUGCAUUACACGAUUUCUUUAAAAAGUGUUUUCUGUGGAUUACUGCAUCUAUCCUACAUUACGUAAGAGCUCUUCAUUCUUCUGUGCUACCAUUAAUCUAAGUAGCUGAUCACUGAACUAAAAGCAAUUAUGAUAAUUUUGUUUGCUAUGUAAAAGCACAGUGUAGUCAAUGUUAGAGUAAACAUGACAAACUUGCCAGUUUAAUAUAUAAAUAUAUAGAUGUAUCCGUGAAAUUGAAAGCAUUUACAAGUAAAUGGAGUGGGAGGUAAUACUGAGACAUAAGAAUACCAAUGAUAAUUGGUAUCUGUGCAGGCCUGAUUCAUUAGAUGCCAAAGAAUGAAAUCAUGAAAGAGAACUUCUUUGGAUCAAAAAAAAAAAAAAAAAGUGAUUAAAAGGGAAGUUAAUCAACAAGAGAAUAAUGAUGAACAAUACAUAGAUAAAAAUGGAAAAGCUGAGAGCACCACAUGGUAGGGAAUGAGCAAUUGCUAAAUGGUAUCGAAGUGCAACUAAAAAAGAAUACUGUCAAUUAUUGUAGCUGUCUUUGCAGGCAAUUUGGCAGCAAUGAAAUUGUAAAAAUUGUAUGGUUCUGAUGGUUUUAUAGAUUUGGUUAAAAAACUGUGGAAGUAAAGCUGAAGUAUAUAUAUUUUUAAAUAAUACUUAUUCCUUUUGGAAUCUCUAUCAUAAAGAGACAAUGAAAUAUUUCUGAUAUUGUUGUUUUUUUCACAACCAAAUUAUUUUUUUUUAAUAGCUUGAUAUCAAGUUGCAAAAUUUUGAUCUGCAAAUCAAGUAAUAUUAUGUAUCUGGAUAAGGAGCUUUUUGAAUGAUUGAAGCUGUUUUCUAGCAUUUAAGGCAUCCUACUGUAUGCGCAAAAAGCCUUGUGAAUGACUACAGCCAUCGUGUUUAUGUUUGGUAUAGGUAAGGUCAAGUGACAGGACAUACUGGUCAAAAUCAUAGCCAAGCUGGUGCGGGGCACAGCUGCUUGCAGCAGAGAGGAGAUCUCACCUGAGCUGAAACACUGAGAGAAUCUCAAGUUGGGGUCAUGUACAUGCUUGCCUCUGCGUCAUUUGAUUGAUUUUUGUCACGUGACUUUGCUUAAGAAGGGGGGUAAUCCUUUCAAGUGAUCGAGUGGUAUACAAAAUCAAUGUCUGCAUGUAUCAUGUAAAAUCAUGCUAAAUAGGCUGUGAAAUAUAAACGAGAACAAUUGAUCUCUGGAUGUCUUGGGGGAACAGUCUCUGCAUGGUGCUUGCUCCGGCCACAGGUCUUUGUAUCUAAUGAGGGGAUUAGAAAUGUUCAGAUGAACGUUGUGUGGGUGUGUUUGAAUUCUUCUCACGUAUAGAUACCCUCCAGGUUUGAGUUUUGACCUCUUUGCACAUUUUCAGUUCUGAUCCCACUCAGACCUACUUAGCUAAUGAGAUAUAAGAUCAUUGCCUGAGGAAGGAAUACUGUGGCACAUCAGAAUUUGCAGAGAUGUUGUUUUACACUUGAAUGGAAGAAGCAGGGAAGGACUUGCCAAAUAUGCUGUGCUUUACAAUUAAUAUUUUAAGUAGGUUUUGAAGAUGCGUGUGCCUCUUUCUGCUCUUCUAUCAUGGAAAGAUAUAUCAAAGAAAGUGGGAUUAGUAUAUGUUUUCUUCGGUGAGAUUAAAAAUCUGUUACGCUGCAAGUUGUUCUUCGCUAUUUUGUAGCUGAGGAUUUUUAAUUUUGUGUAGUGUUAAGAUGAAUUACUCCAUCCAAAUCAGUUACUGAAGCUGUGUCAUUUCUUCAUAUUGUGGCCGGGUGUCAUCGUUGGCUGGUAGUAGCUCAGAAAGCAUGGACACAGCUCACCAUGUUUAAAAUGUUUGGGAAAA
ensembl:lncRNA